GUUCCCUCCAUCAUAAGUUGAAACAAAGAUGCUUUUGGCAUCAAGAAAUUUAUUGCGCACCCGAUAUGUCAAAAAUAUAAUGGUGAAGCCCCGGUCAGGCAUUUAUUACCGAGGUCAUUUAAUUAAAGCUCUAGAUAUUAACAAAAUAACGGUUUGAUGAGUGUUCCAUCUAUGUUUUAACCAAAAUAGAAUACAUGAUAGCGUUGGGAAAGCAUUAAGAACAGCUAACCAAGCUCGCGUGACUGCAUCCUUGUUUCAUCUGGGCUUAAACAUAAAGAAUCCAUCAAAACUGGACAGCGAUAACCUAUAGACAGCGACAAGCUAUAGAUUGCGCGAUACAACCUUUCUACUUUGGGACUUCAAACAAAUCUCACAUUCUGACCUUGCAAGCAAGUGUGCAGGGCGUGCGUGCAGCGACCACCCAUGGUACGCGCCACAGCCAGUGGUGAUGCGACAACAAUAUACGGGCGAUAUUCGAGCCGCCCGCGAUUCGGCGACUAUAAAGGCCAGUUGUCAUCGCGAGGUGAGCAGGGCAAAUACUGUUCUUAAUUUAGUUUGCGAGCGAACGUGUUGAGUGGCGGCAUUUUACAAAUAUGAUAAUAUUUUUCAAUCUCAUUAAUUUUGAGUGACGUUUUGACAAUGACGGUUGCACUAUUAGAUUAUCUCAAAUAGUUUUGAAUAUUAUUUGCAUGAAUAUCAAAUACAAUUAGCAGAGAAGGCAACACGUAUAUUAUGUAUCCAGUCACGUUCUCAGACUCAGAGUGUUAAAUUCAUUGAUUUCUUGUUAGAUAUGUGUUAUAUUAGGUCCGUUGAAGAAUACUGUGAUUAUGCCCAAAAGUGAUAUUAAUAAUCUAUCCAAAUUUAUUAAAAGUGAAUUGUGUAAAACAUGUAAUACCAUAUGGAAAGAUCAG